rnacentral:rRNA from 1 species
CCUACGGGAGGCAGCAGUGGGGAAUAUUGGGCAAUGGAGGAAACUCUGACCCAGCAACGCCGCGUGAAUGAUGAAGGUCUUCGGAUUGUAAAGUUCUUUUCUAAGGGAAGAAGAAAGUGACGGUACCUUAGGAAUAAGCAUCGGCUAACUCCGUGCCAGCAGCCGCGGUAAUACGGAGGAUGCGAGCGUUAUCCGGAUUCAUUGGGUUUAAAGGGUGCGCAGGCGGGCCUUUAAGCCGGCGGUGAAAUCGCGGGGCUCAACCCCGCCGAGCCGUCGGAACUGGGGGCCUUGAGUGCGGCGGAGGCAUGCGGAAUGCGCGGUGUAGCGGUGAAAUGCAUAGAUAUCGCGCAGAACCCCGAUUGCGAAGGCAGCGUGCCGUGCCGCCACUGACGCUGAGGCACGAAAGCGCGGGGAUCGAACAGGAUUAGAUACCCUGGUAGUC